ACGUUUGCUGAGUUUGUGUACCUUGUUGAUAUUCGUGGAUUCUGAACAGAAAAUCCUCUUUGAAUUCAUACAUACACGCCUGUGAAAAUGAAAGACAACUUGAAGAGUGGAGUAGAAAAAUCAUCUGUUUUGUUGAAUACAGCAUAAUUUAUUUUUGUUGCAUUUAAGCAUCGGCCUGCUUAAUAUUGGUAUGUUUAAUGAAAAUAAAUAAAUAAAGUAUUGUA